GGCCGACUAGCUCAGUUGGUUAGAGCGUCGUGCUAAUAUAAUAGGUUCUCAACCGCUUCAUAUUAACGCGAAGGUCUUGGGUUCGAUCCCCACGUUGGCCA